rnacentral:rRNA from 1 species
AGAGUUCGAUUCUGGCUCAGGAUGAACGCUGGCGGCGUGCUUAACACAUGCAAGUCGAACGAAGCACUUUAUUUGAUUUCCUUCGGGAUUGAUUAUUUUGUGACUGAGUGGCGGACGGGUGAGUAACGCGUGGGUAACCUGCCUUGUACUGGGGGACAACAGUUGGAAACGACUGCUAAUACCGCAUAAGCGCACAGCUCCGCAUGAAGCAGUGUGAAAAACUCCGGUGGUACAAGAUGGACCCGCGUCUGAUUAGCUGGUUGGUGAGGUAACGGCCCACCAAGGCAACGAUCAGUAGCCGGCCUGAGAGGGUGAACGGCCACAUUGGGACUGAGACACGGCCCAA